rnacentral:rRNA from 1 species
UACGAAGGGGGCUAGCGUUGCUCGGAAUUACUGGGCGUAAAGGGCGCGUAGGCGGAUAGUUUAGUCAGAGGUAAAAGCCCAGGGCUCAACCUUGGAACUGCCUUUGAUACUGGCUAUCUUGAGUACGGGAGAGGUGUGUGGAACUCCGAGUGUAGAGGUGAAAUUCGUAGAUAUUCGGAAGAACACCAGUGGCGAAGGCGACACACUGGCCCGUUACUGACGCUGAGGCGCGAAAGCGUGGGGAGCAAACAG